rnacentral:rRNA from 1 species
UACAGAGGGGGCCAGCGUUGUUCGGAAUUAUUGGGCGUAAAGGGCGCGUAGGCGGCCAUGCGUGUCUUCCGUGAAAUCCCUCGGCUUAACUGAGGACGUGCGGAAGAAACUGCAAGGCUCGAGUCCGGGAGAGGAGGGUGGAAUUCCCAGUGUAGCGGUGAAAUGCGUAGAUAUUGGGAGGAACACCGGUGGCGAAGGCGGCCCUCUGGACCGGUACUGACGCUGAUGCGCGAAAGGCCAGGGGAUCAAACGGG